GGGAGCUCUCCCUUUCCCUUCUUCUCCACCCUCCACCUCUGACACGUGGCCACCACCUCAGCUCUGUCCACUAUAACCAUUCAGAGAUUGGCUGGUGUGGGAGAAGGGCUCAAGGAGAUGGGGGCUGGAUUUGACCACUGAAGCAAGCUGUCACCCCACUAAAUGAGGGCAUGGAAGGUUGUGAGACACCCAACAGCCCAUAGUAGGAGGUCCAGAUGGCUGGCCCAGCCCAAAUCCCAGGAAUCAUUCCGAAGAUCCAGUGACCCAAAUUCUGAAUAUUGAAGAUGAUCUUCAGGGGAAAAAGGCACUGGAUCCAGAAGGCACCAAUCAAACUCAAGAGUGUACUCUGCGAAGAAACCUGCCUAAGUCACCUACUCUCAGGAAAAAUCCUCAACACAAAUGGCAACCACAUCCAAAUGCCAUGCAGGUCUGCAGCUAAGGUGCAAGCUGGAGGGGAUGGACUCUGCUUCAGAAUACGGGAGGGGGAGGAUUUCCUCAGCAGAAGCACUUAGGUAAGAGAAAUGACAAAUUAAUUAACUUGUCAAAUUCUUACUUUCACAAAGCUUGAAUGCAAUGGAUUUUAACAUAACAAGACACCAUUUCCUGGCAGCGCCAAGUAUGCAUUUACUUGCUUCUCUUCUUUCUCCAACUGGGGAUUCCGAAGGUACUCACACGCUAACGUGGCAUUCAGAACAGCUACACAUGGCUGCUAAUGUGUAUCACUCUGGUAUUUGAAUAUAUACACGGGUCUCUAUGUAACAUGAGUGAAGUAUGAUACUGAUUCUUUACAUUGACGGCUAGAUGGACAUUUAAUAAUGGGGCUGCAAAUAGUUGUUUUUAACAAAAAUAUAUGACAAGAUUUAUAUUUAAAACGUUAAAUGGAAAUCUAGCCUUUAAAUAAUGUAUAUUUAAAUUUUUUUAAAUUUUAAUAGACUUUGGAUAUUUUAAAAGAAAAUUUUUUUUGUAUAAAAUACAUAACAUAAUAUUUACCAUCUUAACCACUUUUAAGUGUACAGUAUAGUAGUGCUAGCUAUAUGUGUCUUGUUGUAUGACAAAUCUCUAGAAAUUUUUCACGCUGCAAAACCGAAUCUCUAUACCCAUUGAACAACGAUACUCCCUCUUUUCCCCCUCCCCAGCUCCUGGCAGC